rnacentral:rRNA from 1 species
UGCCGGCGACCGGCGGACGGGUGCGUAACGCGUAUGUAACCUACCUUUGACAGGGGGAUAACAUCGAGAAAUUGGUACUAAUACCCCAUAACAUCACCGGAGGCAUCUUCGGUGGUUGAAAACUCAGGUGGUCAGAGAUGGACAUGCGUUGUAUUAGCUAGUUGGUGAGGUAACGGCUCACCAAGGCGACGAUACAUAGGGGGACUGAGAGGUCAACCCCCCAUAUUGGUACUGAGACACGGACCAAACUCCUACGGGAGGCAGCAG